UACAGAGGGUGCAAGCGUUGUUCGGAUUCAUUGGGCGUAAAGGGCGCGUAGGCGGCGGGGUAAGUCGGGUGUGAAAUCUCAGAGCUCAACUCUGAAACUGCACUCGAUACUGCUUUGCUAGAGGACUGGAGAGGAGAUUGGAAUUCACGGUGUAGCAGUGAAAUGCGCAGAUAUCGGGAGGAACACCUAUGGCGAAGGCAGCUUGCUGGGACGGUACUGACGCUGAGACGCGAAAGCGUGGGGAGCAAACAGG
rnacentral:rRNA from 1 species